AGGCGGCGGCGGAGGGAUCUGCCGCUUGAUUUAUCAUCAAAGUUUUGCCCAGGCUGGGAUUUUUAAAGCGGUACCCGCAACUUCCCCUGCCCGAGAGUGCAAAUGGGAGUGCGAGACGGGGUGGAGGAAGCCCCCCUAGGGACCUAGUUCCCGCAAAGCAUAAGACAACUGGCUUCAGAAACAGAUAUACUAUCCAGCGGGAUAAGGAGAAAAACCACUCCACCUGCCGCCAGACCCAGCGCGCUCAGAGGGCCUCCCAACUUUGCUAGCAGCGCGGUGUUGGGGUCAGGGGGUCGGAGGAGGUGGGGGUGAGGUCGGGCAGGAACCUGGGCUGAGGCACAGGGGACCUGGUGAUAGUCUUUAGUUCCCUGUGCGGACGUGUCCUUAUGUCUAACCCCGUCUGAGCCUCAAAGUUUUCAUCUGAGAAAUGGGAAAAGCAGCUACCUGCAGGGGUCCUGUUUUCCUGUCUGCAUAAUGGGAGUGAGGCUGGCCAGUUGCUCGGGCUCCUUCUAGCUUAGAGAUGCUGGGCCCUACGCGGUGGAUUGGAUCGCCCUCUUCUGGACUGUAAAUCUCCGUUCCUCGGACCGAUGGGCCUAGAUGAAAUGUUGGAGAGGCGGGCAGGCCUCUUUCCCUACACGUCCAUGUCCGCCGCGGUUUCAGCACUACGGAGGACGACAGCGUCAACUCCGACCCCCAUCUUUUUGGCCUCAAGUACCUCGCCUAGGCGGGCUUUUAGAUUCGAGGAUUCAGCACCAUGGACAGACCUUCCAGUUUCCUCUCCUGCCCCGCGGAAUGGGAGUGAACGCUGCAAACAGACCACUCCCCUCUCCACAGACUACAGGUGGAUCCAGCAUUGUAGACAGAGCCCCAAGUUUGAGAAUGAGGUUAGAACCCGAGGGACAGCUCCCCGCUUCCCAGUAUUAUGGUGGGCAGCACACUGGAUGGGGCCCCUGGUCGCCAGUAGCAAUCCGGUUCGUUCACAUCUAUGGACAGCCCCUUGAAGUCCCCAAUUACAAAUGCUAUGUUUCAACACAACUGAGCCCCAACGGGAAGCUACUUUCAGCACUGCGGACAGAUCCCCGCCGU
rnacentral:lncRNA from 1 species